rnacentral:rRNA from 1 species
AUGCACGCUGGCGGCGUGCCUAAUACAUGCCAGUCGAGCGAACAGACGAGGAGCUUGCUCCUCUGACGUUAGCGGCGGACGGGUGGGUAACACGUGGAUAACCUACCUAUAAGACUGGGAUAACUUCGGGAAACCGGAGCUAAUACCGGAUAAUAUAUUGAACCGCAUGGUUCAAUAGUGAAAGACGGUUUUGCUGUCACUUAUAGAUGGAUCCGCGCCGCAUUAGCUAGUUGGUAAGGUAACGGCUUACCAAGGCAACGAUGCGUAGCCGACCUGAGAGGGUGAUCGGCCACACUGGAACUGAGACACGGUCCAGACUCCUACGGGAGGCAGCAGUAGGGAAUCUUCCGCAAUGGGCGAAAGCCUGACGGAGCAACGCCGCGUGAGUGAUGAAGGUCUUCGGAUCGUAAAACUCUGUUAUUAGGGAAGAACAAAUGUGUAAGUAACUAUGCACGUCUUGACGGUACCUAAUCAGAAAGCCACGGCUAACUACGUG